GUGGGGAAUUUUCCGCAAUGGGCGAAAGCCUGACGGAGUGACGCCGCGUGUGGGACGAAGGCCUUCGGGUCGUAAACCACUGUCAGUGGGAAAGAUGGGUGUCGGGGCUAAUACCUCCGGCAUCUGACGGUACCUGCAGAGGAAGCCCCGGCCAACUCUGUGCCAGCAGCCGCGGUAAGACAGAGGGGGCAAGCGUUGCUCGGAAUUACUGGGCGUAAAGGGCGCGUAGGCGGGAUGGCAAGUCGGUCGUGAAAUCCCUCGGCUCAACCGAGGAACGUCGAUCGAUACUGCUGUUCUUGAGGAUUGCAGAGGAGACUGGAAUUCCCGGUGUAGCGGUGAAAUGUGUAGAGAUCGGGAGGAACACCGGUGGCGAAGGCGGGUCUCUGGGCAAUUCCUGACGCUGAGGCGCGAAAGCGUGGGGAGCAAACGGGAUUAGAAACCCUUGUAGUCC
rnacentral:rRNA from 1 species